AUUGAACGCUGGCGGCAUGCUUUACACAUGCAAGUCGAACGGUAACAGGGUGCUUGCACCGCUGACGAGUGGCGGACGGGUGAGUAAUGCGUCGGAACGUGCCGAGUAGUGGGGGAUAACGCAGCGAAAGUUGUGCUAAUACCGCAUACGUACUGAGGUAGAAAGUGGGGGACCUUCGGGCCUCACGCUAUUCGAGCGGCCGACGUCUGAUUAGCUAGUAGGUGAGGUAAAGGCUCACCUAGGCGACGAUCAGUAGCGGGUCUGAGAGGAUGAUCAGCCACACUGGGACUGAGACACGGCCCAGACUCCUACGGGCGGCAGCAGUGGGGAAUUUUGGACAAUGGGCGAAAGCCUGAUCCAGCCAUGCCGCGUGUCUGAAGAAGGCCUUCGGGUUGUAAAGGACUUUUGUCGGGGAGGAAAUCCCCAGCGUUAAUACCGCUGGGGGAUGACAGUACCUGAAGAAUAAGCACCGGCUAACUACGUGCCAGCCGCCGCAGUAAGAC
rnacentral:rRNA from 1 species